rnacentral:rRNA from 1 species
UACAGAGGGUGCGAGCGUUGUUCGGAAUUAUUGGGCGUAAAGGGCGCGUAGGCGGCGCCACAAGUCACUUGUGAAAACUCUGGGCUCAACCCAGAGCCUGCAGGCGAAACUGUGGUGCUGGAGUAUGGGAGAGGUGCGUGGAAUUCCCGGUGUAGCGGUGAAAUGCGUUGAUCUACAGAGGAACACCAAAAAAGGCGAAGGCAGUCAACUAUUCUGUUCCUGACAUUGAGGCAUGAAAGCGUGGGGAGCAAACCGG